CUCCUUACUCAUGUGUUUAGAUCAUUCUUGAAUUCUUUCAUAUAUUAAACAUACAUAUUUUAUAUGUUAUGUCUGUUAAUGUCAAUAUCUGAAGUUUUUGCCAGUUUGAUUCUGUUGCCUGUUGUUUCUCACCUCUUGCUCCCAGAACCAUGUUUCCUUCUUUUAUAUUGUUUGAUUACAUGGUUUGAAGGGUAAAUUUUCUCCCUGGGAAUUCUUUGAGACCUGGGUAAAAGGUGGUUCCUUCCAGAGAGGGUUUGCAUCUGCUUCUGCCUAGUGCUGGGGACAUUACCAGCCAGAAACCUCUUCACACAAAAUUCUCAGUAUGGAGGUUUCAAACCACCCAAGUAAUAUGAAGACUGCAAUUCCAUGUGAAAGCUGACUUAUUGUUAUGAGUUCUCAGUGGAAAUAUUGGUUCUUGUCUACCCAGUGUCAAGGAGGUCUAAGAUAAACAGUCAGCCUCCAUAUCCACUUGGAGGGUGGUAGUGACAGGUGAGAAGGAAGAUAGGCUUAUUUCUAAUUCACCCUCAUGCCAUGGGCAUGCCAGGCCCUGAAUUCUGUCUCAUGUUCCCUCUUUUCUAUGAGUUUCUGAAAACUGAAGCUAUAUUGACCAAGUUUUUAAAAGGUACUCAAGACCAAAGCCAGCUUCAUGUUCUAAAUCACAUUUUGGGUCCCCACAUUCACUGUGCUGAGUAUUCCUUUUUAUGUUAGUCUAGUCUACUCAGACUACUAUAACAAAAUACCACUGACUAGACAGCUUAGACAACAGACAUUUAUUUUUUCACCAUUCGCAAGACUAGAAGUCCAUGAUCAAGGUGUGAGUAAAUUUGAUUUCUGGUGAGGGCUCUCAUCCUGCCUCGUAGAUGGCCACCUUCUCGCUGUGUCAUCAAGUGGUGUUUCCUCUGUGCACACACCAAGGGAGUACUCUCUGAUGUCUCCUUUUCUUCCCAUAAGGACACUCCCAUCGGAUUAUGGCCCCAGCCUUACAACCUUAUUUAACCUUGAUUACCUCCCUAAAAGCCCCAUCUUUAAAUAUAUUGACAUUGAGGAUUCAACAUAUGAAUUCAGGGAGAUAUAUUACAGUUCAAUCCUUAGCACUAAUUUCGAAAAAGCUGCUUUUUUGUUUUUUUGUCCUUUUAAAAUUUUUCCCAACACUUUGAAAUUCUUUGGUCCAGGUGCCUAGAACCACAGUGCUGGGAACACUGGAAAUUGAUUUCCUUUGCACAACGUUUUAUGAGGGAAGAUUCGCAUUUAAUUAAAUUAUUUCAUGAUGUACCUAGUUAAUGGGAAAGGACACUUCAGCCACAUGGGGUGAGGAUGGAGGCUAGACCAGAAAUAGGACUUAGUACCAUUAAAUCAUAUUAAGUUGUUGACUGGAGAGCUCUUUCUUGGGCACCAUUACCAUCCUUAUCUCCAUUUUCUUUUGAACCUGAAGGUGAAGUGACAGGGGAAGUCUAGGUGAGGUGCAAGAAGUUUCUAACAAUUAGAUUUACCCAUAGAAGGCCUCGCUUUGGUCAGUACAUGGAGACCAGUGGCCUCCAUAUGGUCACUCCCCUACAUGUCCUGCAAGAGAUCGCACCAGCCUGGAUUUUUAAAGAUAGCACCCCUGAAGAGCACCUUCUUACAGUGUGCAGAGCGGUGUUCCUGAUAUCUCUGUGGGUCCUUGGUGGGCUUCAGGUAGUGCUGAGGGAGCCCAGAAAGGCUGAAGAGAGCCCUACCCUGAUCCAGGUGGGAGGAGAACCAGGGGACAUACAAUGCAGCAAGCAGGGUCUAAGUGUGGAAACUCAAAGUCUAAGACUGAGGAAUAGAAGCUGUCUCCUGGGAAACAGCAAGAACAAUGGAUGCCGUGUUUCUAACCCUGUUCGUAGAACUGGCCUACAGGUGAGAUACAGGUGUGUCCAAGGACUGCCUAUCCACUCAUCUUCAGAUGUCUCCUUCAGCAAAAAGCACAGUCUCUCCGCUCACAGUAUGUUUUGUUUUGUUUUGUUUUGUUUUUGAGAUGGAGUCUUGCUCUGUCACCAGGCUGGAGGGCAGUGGUGCAAUCUCAGCUCACUGCAGGCUCCACUUCGUGGGUUCAAACGAUUCUCCUGCCUCAGCCUCCUGAGGAGCUGGACUACAGGUGGGCACCACCAUGCCCAGCUACAUUUUAUAUUUUUAGUAGAGAUGGGGGUUUCACCAUGUUGGCCAGGAUGGUCUCGAUCUCUUGACCUCAUGAUCUUCCCUCCUCCUCCUCUCAAAGUGCUGGCAUUACAGGCAUGGGCCACCAUGCCUGAUCUCUCAAAAUAUGUUUCAUGAGACGAGCAUUCAUUCGUUCAUUGCCUGCAGAUAUGCCUCUGCCUUUGAGGAAUGUGCACAUAGGAGUGAAGAACAGGUCUGUAAAUUUAAAAAUUUAAUAAUUAAAAAAAAAGCUAGAGUGCAGAUAAAUGCUGACAGAGGCCUGUCUAGAGUGCUAUGGGAAUCAGGGAAGAGCUGCUAACUGGGAGGUCAGGGAAGUUUUCAAAAAGGAAGUGACAUGUCAGCAGAGUCUUGAAGGAUUGGUAGGCUUGGAAAUCAGUAUGGCAGGGAGGACACAGGUAUAAAGGCACUGAGGUUUGGAACAGCCCCUUAGAACUGGAAGUAAUUCAACAUGCCUGAAUGCAGGUAAGGACAGAAAGGUAAGCAGGAUUCAGACCAUGGAGCCCACAUGCUUGGCUAAGAAGUUUGGGUUUUAUCUCAAAAUACAGAUUGCUAAGGCUAGCAGUGAUAGACUGUUGUUAACAACAGUAGCCUUUAUUAUAUACCUGUCCCAUGGCAAGCACUAAGCUAAGCUCUCUAUAUGAAUAAUUUUAUUUCAUUCCCUUAAUAGGACAAUGAAUUUUAUUUUAAUAGGCCUAUUUGAUAGUCAAAGAAACUGAAUCAUGGAAAAGUUAAAGGUUAGGAAACAGCUGCAGCACAGAGCCAGUAAGAGGCAGAACUGGGAUUUAAACUCAGUCUUCCUGGUUCCAAAGCCCAUGCACUUACGUAGCUGGGCUGUGCUGUCAGAUGGAACAAGGUCUCAGAGUAGAUGAAAGGGGCUGGGCUUGACCUCCAUGGAAUGAGCCUAGGAAGGACAAGGGUCACUCUGUCUCCUGAACUAAAGCAAUAGCAGAAGAUCUGAGUCUUUGGAAAAUUGCUCUAGCAGCAAUGGAGAAAUUUACAGGUGGGUACUGGAAGGGGCAAGACCAGUUAGGAGGAUGAAGCAGUUACUGAAGUAGGAAAAAUGGGGGCAUCCACCAAGGCUUUGGAAAUUGGAGGGGGAAACAGAUGAGAGAGAUUUAGGAGAUGGAGUGGGACUUGGUAGCUGAUUGGAUGUGAGAGCUGAGGGAGGAAGAGAGGUCUUAUUCAACGUUGUAUUCCAAGUGACCAACACAGUUCCAGGCACGUAGUAGGUACUUGGUCUAUAUUUAUUCCAUGAACAGUUGAAUGAUGACUUAGUGCUUUCUGGCUUGGUCCAGUGGGAGAGUUAAAAAGGAAAUACAAAUGGAAGAACAUGCUUUGCAGGGGUCAGAAGGGAAACAUGGUGCAUCUGUAGUGUCUGUGGCUCAUUCAGUGGCAUUUGGAUAUACUGGUUGGAAAUUCUGGAUAAAUCUGGGUUUAAGGGAGAGGUUUGGGUGUUAUCUCAGCACAUGGGUGAGGGUAGAAGCCUAAGGAAUGGACAACAUUUCUUAGAAAGACCUGAGAGAAUAAGAAAACUCAGAAUGGAUCUGACAGGAGAAAGAACAAGAUCCAGUGAAAGAACAGAGAAGGAGCAGCCUGCCAGGUGGGAGGAGAAUCGUGAUGCAAAGGCAGGAUGAGUUUCCGACUAGGGCAUGUCUGAUCAUGACAAUGAUGAAAAAUGUCUUGUUGGAAAAGUGCUAGAAAGAGACCAUUGGCUUUGGCCUUGGAAGAAGACCUUUCAGUGAAGCUCCAGGGGCAGCAACAGACAGAAGUAGUAUGGGAAGCAAACGGAUGGGAGGUGAGGCUGUGGAGGCCAGGAUGGGCAGUAACAUAUGAGGGACAUAAGUGAGAGAGAAAGCUUAGGGUUAGUUUGGGGGGUGUGCUUAAAAUACUGGAACUGGACUAUAUUUGUAGGCUUAGGAAAAAGUAAGCAAAGAGGGAGAGAGUGAAGGUACAGGAGAACAGGGAUGGUGACAGAAGGGAGAUUCUGGAGUGAGAGGGCAAUGGGAUUGGGAAUGCAGGGCUCCCUUUACAAGGAGCAAGGGGAGAAAGAUGCUGUUGUGAGAAGGGGCUGAAAGUUUGCUUGUGGGAGUGUAAGAGGCACAUGUGUCUCCUUGGUCUGCUCGUACUCAUGGAAUAACUAUGAUGCAUUCCCGGCACCUGCACAAGAGGAUCAUUCCUAAAAUUCCAUCUCCCUUGAAGGACCUCUGCUACCUGUGCUUGGCAAGGAGCUAGGAAUGUCCCAGGAACUAGGGCCCUCCAAGGGCAAUAAGAAGGCCAACAGAGAGAAGCAGGGGUGCUAUGGUGUAGGAAUGGCCAAGAACCUACAUCAAGACAUUGGCAUGAGCUGAGCACCUAUGGGCUGUGCACCUCUGCACUAUGGGAACAGGAAGAACUUACAGUCUUACUGGAGAGGCAAGUUAAAGAUAGGUCUAUACUCAAUAAACUAGGAGUAAGACAAAUAAAAACACCCCAAUUCAUCCUCCUGGAAACUUGAUAGAUUCAAGGAACAGAGGAAGGAAGGCUCAAGCAAGUGAUGCAGGCCUACUCCACAUGCAGCCUCCAGGCCCUCCCUUCGGCGGGGGUGUCCUCAGGCAAUGUUAACCUCACCUGCACAUUUGGGUGAUCUCAGUCCUUAUAAUAUUAGUCUAACAGUAAUUCAUAUCUACCUACAAUAGUUUUUUCCCAAAUUUCAUCAGAAAUGCCUCGGAGACACUUUAAAACCAUGGAUUCCUAAGCUCUUUUCCCUAAAGAUCUAAUUCAGUGAGUCUAGGGUAGGUACCUAAACUUAUUUCUAAAGAGCACCCUGGUGGUUCUGACCAGCAAAACUUAAGUUAUCAAUGCAACUCCCACUCCCAGCAAAGCACAGAAUGGCCCCCCACCCCAUCUCUCCCUUUGGGCAGCUCCGGCUUCAAUCACACUGGACUCAGGUUCACACACACACACCUGGCUCUUUAAGACCUGUCUGGGCACAUCUGGUCCCAGUGUGCCUUCCCUUCUCCUCCAGGCCAAUUCCUAUCCCCCUUUAAGAUGCAGUCCAAACACCCCCUCUUCUGAGAAGCUUUCCUAACUUCAUCACAUGUUGCUCUUUCCUGUUCCUGUAGCACUUUAUCAGCACCUUUUGUUUUUGUGCCUUUAGAAUCUAUUUCCCCCACAGCUCCUGAGCACCCUGAAAGCAGGGAUAGCACUUUGUUAUUUCUUCUAUAGUUAGCACAGGGGUGGGCACAGAGAAACAGCUCAGCAAUGUUUGAACAUGUGAGCGAUUAUUGGUGGAGGAGCUCCUCUGGGAUGGCUCCGCCCAUAUUGGCCUUGAGGUUCAGGCCUUCUUCGUCCAGGGCCUCCUCUUGUUAGGACCAUUCAGCUCAGCCUCGUGGAAGAACAAAGACAUAGUCAGGACUGAAACCCAUACCCGCCUCAAUGCCCCCUACCUACACACAUCUGUCUUUCUUUGCAGCUGCUCAGUAUGAACACAAAACGUGAUCCAAUUUGCACAUGAGCCUCCCUUGAUUUGAUCAGGAAGGUUAAUCCACCUUUGCUAAAAAAGAAUGAAAAGUGAAACAGGAGAGAGAGAAUGAGGAUGAGAGGGAGAGGGAGGGGGCAUGGAAGGAAGAGGGAUAGGAAAGCUCAUUUCAUGAACUUCAAAGCCAAAGAUAACAGUGCUUUGAUUAUUCAUUCCAUGGGGAUUAUCACUGUCACUCUUCCCUUUGUAGACCUGAAGAGUUGAGAAAUAAUUCUCCAGGCAAGUGAUCAGCAGCUAGUGCAAAUGUCAGGGACAUACUCGUUGGCCCAUUUGUUCACUCACUUAUUCAUUCAGCAAACAUUUACUCACACCCUCUCUGUGCCAGGCCUUGUGCAAGACACCUGCAAUCAGAGGUUUCCCAUGUGCCUUCACAGCCCCUCCUCAUGUCUGGGGGACUCUUUCAUGGCCUCCUCAAGUCCAAAGCCUCAUUCCUUUCCCUUUUACAGCUGACUCCACUUCGCAUCAUGUGCUGGCAUUUCCCCUCCCCCAGAUCUGGCUGUGGCCGUGUGGUAUCCCCACAUACCCUCUCUGCUGCUGAAGACAAACCCUGCCCCCCUGCCCGUUCGCUCACCAGGAUUUUGUGCCCCUCCUGUUUCCCCAUCCAUGCUUCCCUGAUUUGAGCAUUCAUCACACUGCAUUGUAGUCUAUGUACUCAGGGUCUGCUGUGAAGCUCUUUAGAAACUUUGAGGUCUUUAUGAGCAGUGGCCAUGCUAUCUUGCCUGCCAAUUCACCUCCAAAGCCCAGCCCUUGGCAAGUGUGUAACUGUUGAAUGACUCAGUGAAUAAAUGAAUGAGUGAAAGAACUUACUGCUCUCAGAACUACCAAAAUGAAACCUGAGGUAAUGACCGAAGUUCCAGAACCUCUGACGCUUCAUUCCCUGCUGGAGUUCCAGAACCCUUCAAAGUUCCAGAACCUCUGACCCUCAUUCCCUGCUGGAGGCCUCUGUCCUUGAACCUCUGGGGGUUCAGGUCUUCAGCUUUCCCACUGGCCUCCCCUCUUCACCCCAGGAGCUAAUUCUCCAGCCCUUUCCUAGGGUCUCAGCAAGACCCUGAAAGAAAUCAUGGCUCAAGCUGUGCCUAGGAAAAGUGAUCAAGCUCGCCUUUGAGGAGUUCGAUUUGGAGAGGGGUUAUGACACCCUGACGGUUGGGGAUGGUGGUCAGGAUGGGGACCAGAAGACAGUUCUGUACAUCCUGACAGGUACAUCGGUCCCGGAUCUCAUUGUCAGCACCAAUCAUCAAAUGUGGCUACUCUUCCAGACUGAUGGCAGUGGCAGCUCUCUGGGAUUCAAGGCUUCUUACGAAGAGAUCGAGCAGGGCAGUUGCGGUGACCCUGGCAUACCUGCGUAUGGCCAGAGGGAAGGCUCCCGGUUUCGCCACGGUGACACACUCAAGUUUGAGUGCCAGCCCGCCUUCGAGCUGGUGGGGCAGAAGGCAAUCACAUGCCAAAAGAAUAACCAAUGGUCGGCUAAGAAACCAGGCUGCGUGUUCUCCUGCUUCUUCAACUUCACCAGCCCGUCUGGGGUCGUCCUGUCUCCCAACUACCCAGAGGACUACGGCAACCACCUCCACUGCGUCUGGCUCAUCCUGGCCAGGCCUGAGAGCCGCAUCCACCUGGCCUUCAAUGACAUUGAUGUGGAGCCUCAGUUUGAUUUCCUGGUCAUCAAGGAUGGGGCCACUGCCGAGGCACCAGUCCUGGGUACCUUCUCAGGAAACCAGCUUCCCUCCUCCAUCACAAGCAGUGGCCAUGUGGCCCGUCUCGAGUUCCAGACCGACCACUCCACAGGGAAGAGGGGCUUCAACAUCACCUUUACCACCUUCCGACACAAUGAGUGCCCGGAUCCUGGCGUUCCAGUAAAUGGCAAACGGUUUGGGGACAGCCUCCAGCUGGGCAGCUCCAUCUCCUUCCUCUGUGAUGAAGGCUUCCUUGGGACACAGGGCUCAGAAACCAUCACCUGCAUCCUGAAGGAGGGCAGCGUGGUCUGGAACAGCGCUGUGCUGCGUUGUGAAGCUCCCUGUGGUGGUCACCUGACUUCGCCCAGUGGUACCAUCCUCUCUCCGGGCUGGCCUGGCUUCUACAAGGACGCCUUGAGCUGUGCCUGGGUGAUUGAGGCCCAGCCAGGCUACCCCAUCAAAAUCACCUUCGACAGAUUCAAAACUGAGGUCAACUAUGACACCCUGGAAGUGCGCGAUGGACGGACUUACUCAGCACCCUUGAUCGGGGUUUACCACGGGACCCAGGUUCCCCAGUUCCUCAUCAGCACCAGCAACUACCUCUACCUCCUCUUCUCUACUGACAAGAGUCACUCGGACAUUGGCUUCCAGCUCCGAUAUGAGACUAUAACACUGCAGUCAGACCACUGUCUGGAUCCAGGAAUCCCUGUAAAUGGACAGCGUCAUGGGAAUGACUUCUACGUGGGUGCUCUGGUGACCUUCAGCUGUGACUCGGGCUACACAUUAAGUGAUGGGGAGCCUCUGGAGUGUGAGCCCAACUUCCAGUGGAGCCGGGCCCUGCCCAGUUGUGAAGCUCUCUGUGGUGGCUUCAUUCAAGGCUCCAGUGGGACCAUCUUGUCGCCAGGGUUCCCGGACUUCUACCCCAACAACUUGAACUGCACCUGGAUUAUUGAAACAUCUCAUGGCAAGGGUGUGUUCUUUACUUUCCACACCUUCCACCUGGAGAGUGGCCACGACUACCUCCUCAUCACUGAGAAUGGCAGCUUUACCCAGCCCCUGAGGCAGCUAACUGGCUCUCAGCUGCCAGCUCCCAUCAGCGCUGGGCUCUAUGGCAACUUCACUGCCCAGGUCCGCUUCAUUUCCGAUUUCUCCAUGUCCUACGAAGGAUUCAACAUCACCUUCUCAGGGUACGACUUGGAGCCCUGUGAGGAGCCCGAGGUCCCAGCCUACAGCAUUCGGAAGGGCUUGCAGUUUGGUGUGGGUGACACCUUGACCUUCUCCUGCUUCCCCGGGUACCGUCUGGAGGGCACCGCCCGUAUCACGUGCCUGGGGGGCAGACGGCGCCUGUGGAGCUCGCCUCUGCCAAGGUGUGUUGCUGAGUGUGGGAAUUCAGUCACAGGCACUCAGGGUACUUUGCUGUCCCCGAACUUUCCUGUGAACUACAAUAACAAUCACGAAUGCAUCUACUCCAUCCAGACCCAGCCAGGGAAGGGGAUUCAGCUGAAAGCCAGGGCAUUCGAACUCUCUGAAGGAGAUGUCCUCAAGGUUUAUGAUGGCAACAACAACUCUGCCCGUUUGCUGGGAGUAUUCAGCCAUUCUGAGAUGAUGGGGGUGACUUUGAACAGCACAUCCAGCAGUCUGUGGCUUGAUUUCAUCACUGAUGCUGAAAACACCAGCAAGGGCUUUGAACUGCAGUUUUCCAGUUUUGAACUAAUCAAAUGUGAGGACCCAGGAACCCCCAAGUUUGGCUACAAGGUUCAUGAUGAAGGUCAUUUUGCAGGAAGCUCCGUGUCCUUCAGCUGUGACCCUGGAUACAGCCUGCGGGGUAGUGAGGAGCUGCUGUGUCUAAGUGGAGAACGCAGGACCUGGGACCGGCCUCUGCCCACCUGUGUCGCCGAGUGUGGAGGGACAGUGAAAGGAGAGGUGUCGGGACAGGUGCUGUCUCCCGGGUAUCCAGCUCCCUAUGAACACAAUCUCAACUGCAUCUGGACCAUCGAAGCAGAGGCUGGCUGCACCAUUGGGCUACACUUCCUGGUGUUUGACACAGAGGAGGUUCAUGAUGUGCUGCGCAUCUGGGACGGGCCUGUGGAGAGCGGGGUUCUGCUGAAGGAGCUGAGUGGCCCAGCCCUGCCCAAGGACCUGCACAGCACCUUCAACUCAGUUGUCCUGCAGUUCAGCACUGACUUCUUCACCAGCAAGCAGGGCUUUGCCAUUCAAUUCUCAGUGUCCACAGCAACAUCCUGCAAUGACCCUGGGGUCCCACAGAAUGGGAGCCGAAGUGGUGACAGUUGGGAAGCCGGCGACUCCACAGUGUUCCAGUGUGACCCUGGCUACACGCUGCAGGGAAGUGCAGAGAUCAGCUGUGUGAAGAUCGAGAACAGGUUCUUCUGGCAGCCCAGCCCGCCGACGUGCAUCGCUCCCUGUGGGGGCGACCUGACAGGACCAUCUGGAGUCAUCCUGUCACCAAAUUACCCAGAACCCUACCCGCCAGGCAAGGAGUGUGACUGGAAAGUGACCGUCUCACCAGACUACGUCAUCGCCCUGGUAUUUAACAUCUUUAACUUGGAGCCUGGCUAUGACUUCCUCCAUAUCUACGAUGGACGGGACUCUCUCAGCCCUCUCAUAGGAAGCUUCUAUGGCUCCCAGCUCCCAGACCGCAUUGAAAGCAGCAGCAACAGCCUCUUCCUCGCCUUCCGCAGCGAUGCAUCUGUGAGCAAUGCUGGCUUCGUCAUUGACUAUACAGAAAACCCACGGGAGUCAUGUUUUGAUCCUGGUUCCAUCAAGAAUGGCACACGAGUGGGGUCUGACCUGAAGCUGGGCUCCUCCAUCACCUACUACUGCCACGCAGGCUACGAAGUUGAGGGCACCUCGACCCUGAGCUGCAUCCUGGGGCCUGAUGGGAAACCCGUGUGGAACAAUCCCCGGCCAGUCUGCACAGCCCCCUGUGGGGGACAGUAUGUGGGUUCGGAUGGAGUGGUCUUGUCCCCCAACUACCCCCAGAACUACACCAGUGGACAGAUCUGCUUAUAUUUUGUUACUGUGCCCAAGGACUAUGUGGUGUUUGGCCAGUUUGCCUUCUUUCACACGGCCCUCAACGACGUGGUGGAGGUUCACGACGGCCACAGCCAGCACUCGCGGCUCCUCAGCUCCCUCUCGGGCUCCCAUACAGGAGAGUCACUGCCCUUGGCCACCUCCAAUCAAGUUCUCAUUAAGUUCAGUGCCAAAGGCCAAGCACCAGCCAGAGGCUUCCACUUUGUCUACCAAGCGGUGCCCCGAACCAGCGCCACGCAGUGCAGCUCUGUGCCGGAACCCCGAUAUGGCAAGAGACUGGGCAGUGACUUCUCGGUGGGGGCCAUCGUCCGCUUCGAAUGCAACUCCGGCUAUGCCCUGCAGGGGUCGCCAGAGAUCGAGUGCCUCCCUGUGCCUGGGGCCUUGGCCCAGUGGAACGUCUCGGCCCCUACGUGUGUGGUGCCGUGUGGAGGCAACCUCACUGAGCGCAGGGGCACCAUCCUGUCCCCUGGCUUCCCGGAGCCAUACCUCAACAGCCUCAACUGUGUGUGGAAGAUCGUGGUCCCUGAAGGUGCUGGCAUCCAGAUCCAAGUCAUCAGUUUCGUCACAGAGCAGAACUGGGACUCCCUGGAAGUGUUUGAUGGUGCUGAUAACACAGUAACCAUGCUGGGAAGUUUUUCAGGAACAACCGUGCCUGCCCUUCUGAACAGCACCUCCAACCAGCUCUACCUUCAUUUCUACUCAGAUAUCAGCGUGUCUGCAGCUGGCUUCCACUUGGAGUACAAAACGGUGGGCCUGAGCAGUUGUCCUGAACCUGCUGUGCCCAGUAAUGGGGUGAAGACUGGCGAGCGCUACUUGGUGAAUGAUGUGGUCUCUUUCCAGUGUGAGCCGGGAUAUGCCCUCCAGGGCCACGCCCACAUCUCCUGCAUGCCUGGAACCGUGCGGCGAUGGAACUACCCUCCUCCACUCUGUAUUGCACAGUGUGGGGGAACAGUGGAAGAGAUGGAGGGGGUGAUCCUGAGCCCCGGCUUCCCAGGCAACUACCCCAGUAACAUGGACUGCUCCUGGAAAAUAGCACUGCCUGUGGGCUUUGGAGCUCACAUCCAGUUCCUGAACUUCUCCACCGAGCCCAACCACGACUUCAUAGAAAUCCGGAAUGGCCCCUAUGAGACCAGCCGCAUGAUGGGAAGAUUCAGUGGAAGCGAGCUUCCGAGCUCCCUCCUCUCCACGUCCCAUGAAACCACCGUGUAUUUCCACAGCGACCACUCCCAGAACCGGCCAGGAUUCAAGCUGGAGUAUCAGGCCUAUGAACUUCAAGAGUGCCCAGACCCAGAGCCCUUUGCCAAUGGCAUUGUGAGGGGAGCUGGCUACAAUGUGGGACAAUCAGUGACCUUUGAGUGCCUCCCAGGGUAUCAAUUGACUGGCCACCCUGUCCUCACUUGUCAACAUGGCACCAACCGGAACUGGGACCAUCCUCUGCCCAAGUGUGAAGUCCCUUGUGGCGGGAACAUCACUUCUUCCAAUGGCACCGUGUACUCCCCAGGGUUCCCUAGCCCAUACUCCAGCUCCCAGGACUGUGUCUGGCUUAUCACCGUGCCCAUUGGCCAUGGCAUCCGCCUCAACCUCAGCCUGCUGCAGACAGAGCCUUCUGGAGAUUUCAUCACCAUCUGGGAUGGGCCACAGCAAACAGCACCACGGCUCGGCGUCUUCACCCGGAGCAUGGCCAAGAAAACAGUGCACAGCUCAUCCAACCAGGUCCUGCUCAAGUUCCACCGCAAUGCAGCCACAGGGGGGAUCUUCGCCAUAGCUUUCUCUGCUUAUCCACUCACCAAAUGCCCUCCUCCCACCAUCCUCCCCAAUGCCGAAGUCGUAACAGAGAAUGAAGAAUUCAACAUAGGUGACAUCGUACGCUACAGAUGCCUCCCUGGCUUUACCUUAGUGGGGAAUGAAAUCCUGACCUGCAAACUUGGAACUUACCUGCAGUUCGAAGGCCCACCGCCAAUAUGUGAAGUGCACUGCCCAACAAAUGAGCUUCUGACAGACUCCACAGGUGUGAUCUUGAGCCAGAGCUACCCUGGAAGCUAUCCUCAGUUCCAGACCUGCUCCUGGCUGGUGAGAGUGGAGCCCGACUAUAACAUCUCCCUCACAGUGGAGUACUUCCUCAGCGAGAAGCAGUAUGAUGAGUUUGAGAUUUUUGAUGGUCCCUCCGGACAGAGCCCUCUGCUAAAAGCCCUCAGUGGAAAUUACUCUGCUCCCCUGAUUUUCACCAGCUCAAGCAACUCUGUGUACCUGCGCUGGUCAUCUGAUCACGCCUACAAUCGGAAGGGCUUUAAGAUUCGCUAUUCAGCCCCUUACUGCAGCCUGCCCAGGGCUCCGCUCCAUGGCUUCAUCCUAGGCCAGACCAGCACCCAGCCCGGGGGCUCCAUCCACUUUGGCUGCAAUGCCGGCUACCGCCUGGUGGGACACAGCAUGGCCAUCUGUACCCGGCACCCUCAAGGCUACCACCUGUGGAGCGAAGCCAUCCCUCUCUGUCAAGCUCUUUCCUGUGGGCUUCCUGAGGCCCCCAAGAAUGGAAUGGUGUUUGGCAAGGAGUACACAGUGGGAACCAAGGCUGUGUACAGCUGCAGUGAAGGCUACCACCUCCAGGCGGGAGCUGAGGCCACUGCAGAGUGUCUGGACACAGGCCUAUGGAGCAACCACAAUGUCCCGCCACUGUGUGUCCCUGUGACCUGUCCUGAUAUCAGUAGCAUCAGUGUGGAGCAUGGCCGAUGGAGGCUUAUCUUUGAGACACAGUACCAGUUCCAGGCCCAGCUGAUGCUCAUCUGUGACCCUGGCUACUACUAUACUGGCCAAAGGGUCAUCCGCUGUCAGGCCAAUGGCAAAUGGAGCCUCGGGGACUCUACACCCACCUGCCAAAUCAUCUCCUGUGGAGAGCUCCCCAUCCCCCCCAAUGGGCACCGCAUCGGAACACUGUCUGUCUACGGGGCAACAGCCAUCUUCUCCUGCAAUUCUGGAUACACAAUGGUGGGCUCCCGGGUGCGUGAGUGCAUGGCUAAUGGGCUCUGGAGUGGCUCUGAAGUCCGCUGCCUUGCUGGACACUGUGGGACACCUGAGCCUAUCAUCAAUGGACACAUCAAUGGGGAGAACUACAGCUACCGGGGCAGUGUAGUGUACCAGUGCAACGCUGGCUUCCGCCUGAUCGGCAUGUCUGUGCGCAUCUGCCAGCAGGAUCAUCACUGGUCGGGCAAGACCCCUUUCUGUGUGCCAAUUACCUGUGGACACCCAGGCAACCCUGUCAACGGCCUCACUCAGGGCAACCAGUUUAACCUCAACGAUGUGGUCAAGUUUGUUUGCAACCCUGGGUAUAUGGCUGAGGGGGCUGCUAGGUCCCAAUGCCUGGCCAGCGGGCAGUGGAGUGACAUGCUACCCAACUGCAGAAUCAUCAACUGUACAGAUCCUGGACACCAAGAAAACAGUGUUCGUCAGGUCCAUGCCAGCGGCCCACACAGGUUCAGCUAUGGCACCACUGUGUCUUACCAGUGCAACCACGGCUUCUACCUCCUGGGCACCCCAGUGCUCAGCUGCCAGGGAGAUGGCACAUGGGACCGUCCCCGCCCCCAGUGUCUCUUGAUGUCCUGUGGCCAUCCAGGCUCCCCACCUCACUCCCAGAUGUCCGGAGACAGCUACAUUGUGGGAGCAGUGGUGCGGUACAGCUGCACCGGCAAGCGGACUCUGGUGGGAAACAGCACCCGCAUGUGUGGGCUGGAUGGCCACUGGACUGGCUCCCUCCCUCACUGUUCAGGAACCAGCACGGGAGUUUGCGGUGACCCUGGGAUCCCAGCUCAUGGAAUCCGUUUGGGGAACAGCUUUGAUCCAGGCAGUGUGAUGCACUUCAGCUGUGAAGCUGGCCAUGUGCUCCGGGGAUCCUCAGAGCGCACCUGUGAAGCCAAUGGCUCAUGGAGCGGCUCGCAGCCUGAGUGUGGAGUGAUCUCUUGUGGGAACCCCGGGACUCCAAGCAAUGCCCGAGUCAUUUUCAGUGAUGGCCUGGUUUUCUCCAGCUCUAUUGUCUAUGAGUGUCGGGAAGGAUACUAUGCCACGGGCCUGCUCAGCCGUCACUGCUCAGUCAAUGGUACCUGGACAGGCAGUGACCCCGAGUGCCUCGUCAUAAACUGUGGUGACCCUGGGAUUCCAGCCAAUGGCCUUCGGCUGGGCAAUGACUUCAGGUACAACAAAACUGUGACAUACCAGUGUGUCCCUGGCUAUAUGAUGGAGUCACAUAGAGUAUCUGUGCUGAGCUGCACCAAGGACCGGACAUGGAAUGGAACCAAGCCUGUCUGCAAAGCUCUCAUGUGCAAGCCGCCUCCUCUCAUCCCCAAUGGGAAGGUGGUGGGGUCUGACUUCAUGUGGGGCUCAAGUGUGACUUAUGCCUGCCUGGAGGGCUACCAGCUCUCCCUGCCCGCGGUGCUUACCUGUGAGGGAAAUGGGUCCUGGACCGGAGAGCUGCCUCAGUGUUUCCCUGUGUUCUGCGGGGAUCCUGGUGUCCCGCCCCGUGGGAGGAGAGAGGACCGAGGCUUCUCCUACAGGUCAUCUGUCUCCUUCUCCUGCCAUCCCCCUCUGGUGCUGGUGGGCUCUCCACGCAGGUUUUGCCAGUCAGAUGGGACAUGGAGUGGCACCCAGCCCAGCUGCAUAGAUCCUACCCUGACUACCUGUGCGGACCCUGGCAUGCCACAGUUUGGGAUACAGAACAAUUCUCAGGGAUACCAGGUUGGAAGCACAGUGCUCUUCCGUUGCCAAAAAGGCUACCUGCUUCAGGGCUCCACCACCAGGACCUGCCUGCCCAACCUGACCUGGAGUGGAACCCCGCCUGACUGUGUCCCCCACCACUGCAGGCAGCCAGAGACGCCAACGCAUGCCAACGUCGGGGCCCUGGACUUGCCCUCUAUGGGCUACACGCUCAUCUACUCCUGCCAGGAGGGCUUCUCCCUCAAGGGUGGCUCCGAGCACCGCACCUGCAAGGCGGAUGGCAGCUGGACAGGCAAGCCGCCCAUCUGCCUGGCAGAGGUCCGGCCCAGUGGGAGACCCAUCAAUACUGCCCGGGAACCACCGCUCACCCAAGCCUUGAUUCCUGGGGAUGUUUUUGCCAAGAACUCCCUGUGGAAAGGGGCCUAUGAAUACCAGGGGAAGAAGCAGCCAGCCAUGCUCAGAGUGACUGGCUUCCAAGUUGCCAACAGCAAGGUCAAUGCCACCAUGAUUGACCACAGCGGCGUGGAGCUACACUUGGCUGGAACUUACAAGAAAGAAGAUUUUCAUCUCUUACUCCAGGUGUACCAGAUUACAGGGCCUGUGGAGAUCUUUGUGAAUAAGUUCAAAGAUGAUCACUGGGCUUUAGACGGCCAUGUCUCAUCAGAGUCCUCUGGAGGCACCUUCAUCUACCAAGGUUCUGUCAAGGGCCAAGGCUUUGGGCAGUUCGGCUUUCAAAGACUGGACCUCAGGCUGCUGGAAUCAGACCCCGAGUCCAUUGGCCGCCACUUUGCUUCCAACAGCAGCUCAGUGGCAGCCGCAAUCCUGGUGCCUUUCAUCGCCCUCAUCAUUGCGGGCUUCGUGCUCUAUCUCUACAAGCACAGGAGAAGACCCAAAGUUCCUUUCAAUGGCUAUGCUGGCCACGAGAACACCAAUGUUCGGGCCACGUUUGAGAACCCAAUGUACGACCGCAACAUCCAGCCCACAGACAUCAUGGCCAGCGAGGCGGAAUUCACAGUCAGCACAGUGUGCACAGCGGUAUAGCCACACAGCCUGGCCGCCACCACUGCCACCGAGAGCCCCGCCUCCAGCAGCCGUUCCCCAGGGGGCAGGAAGUAGGCUCCCCUGAGCACAGUGCCCAGUGCCCAUCUUCGUUGUCUCUCUGCCUUUGUCUGCUACUGCUGGGACUCGGGCCCUCGCCCUGCCGCCACCUACACCCGUCACCCCGGAGAGGACUCCCGCCGUGCUCUGAAAAGGAGGCAGGAAAUGAAAAGGGGCUGAAGACAGAGGAAGGAAGUUUAUGGAUUUAAAAUAGUAAAGCAACUUGUGGAUGUGUGUGUGUGUGUGUAUGGGCCUGAGCACACACAAACACACACACCUCUCCUUCAUUCACGUCCUAUGGAAGAGACCAUAAAAGCUUCAAAACCAGAAGUGCACAUGAAGGAUGCUUCAUGCCCUAUUCCCCACACACAGAAAAGAGAUGAAGAGGGGGCGGUAUGGUCAGCUUUCAAACCAAUAUGCCCCCCGCCCAUCUCAUGUGUGAGGACAUGGUGACUCGGUGACUGUAACAGCAGGACGCAUCCCAUGGUGUGGUCAGUGUGCAAAAACCAGCCACCUGCUGAUGGACGGCCCCAUCUGCACAGCAGCAGCAGCAAGGAUUACCCCAGAGGCAGGAAAAAGGUCUUUGGAAAUAGAUUGAAAAUCAGUUUCUUUAUUUUUUCAAACACAAUUGUAUUGAGUUCUAAAUCCAGUGUUUUAAAAAGUCAUUUGGGUCCUGGGCAGCACUGGGAAUGAAGGGAGAGCCAGGGAGGAUAGGGCAGGAGUCUAGCCAGGAACCCAAAAUCAAGUCUGGAUGUCAACUGACAAAGAGAAGACAAGACAAGUCUGUGGUCAAGAGAGGACGCCAGGUCUGGAGGCAGCAGCGGGGGCCUUGAAAGGACAGGGCAGCAAGCCUGCCCCGGUACCCAAAAAACAAUGGCUGUCAUGUGCUGGGGUUAUUCUCUGUGCUUGACACUUUACCUCUAGUAUUUCUAGUCUACACAGUAACACCAAAAUGUAGAAUUUAUUAUUCCCCUUUGACAGAUGAGAAAAUAGAAGCCUGGAAAGGUAAAGACAUGUGGGGCAAGUAGUUAGGAAGUGUGGAGUCAGAAUGCAAACCCAUAUCAGUCUGCCCCAAAGUCCACUACACCAGCUGCCAGAAACCCCGGUCUAGAAGGGGCAGCCAAGAAAGGAGGAGCUGGUGAAUCUCUGCAGUAGCACUGGGGCCAGGUCUGGGAAGCCAGGCAAGACACCCCUGUGUCCUAUCUGGGUUCUGCUCUCUCCACAUAGGCAGUCUCAGGGGAAGGACUCAGCUCCCCAGGCCUCCUGCGGUUGAUGCUGGCUCCUUGGCUACCAACAGCCGCUGACCAUAGCCUGCAAAAGACCUGGCAGGUCCUGAAUCAAAACAACCGGGUGGCUGAAAGUCACACUCUCUCCAGCUCCUCGCAAGUGGGUUUGAUUUAUUUUGACAGCUAAUAUUAUGCUUGGGUCAUUCAUGAAUUCCAUGAGUAUUGUUGGGAAAUUCAUGAGUUUAGGAAUCUAAGUAUGGCAUUUAGAGCCACUUUCUCUGUCCUCGGGAAGGCCCCCAAGGGCUUAAGCCCCUGUACAUGGAUGACAUGCUGACCUCAGAGGUUCAUGUCACAUAUUGAAAUAACAAAUAGAAAUAUGCAGGAGCAGAGAGACCGUGACACCUGGUUCUUAAGCAAAUUCUAGGUUGGAACAAUUAGAACAUCUGACUGAUAUUAAGAUUGGCCAGAGUACAGUGAGAGGCGUCCAUUUCCAGCAGACACAAUGGAGGCUGACAGAGGCAGGAGCCCACCCAUGGCCGCAUCACCUCUGGGACACGGUACCCCUGGGCCUGGCGGGAGGAGGUCAGUCCAGACUCCCUCACGCUCAUCUCUUUGCUUGGCUGGAAACAAGGGCAGGAAGCUCCCCUCCGGACUUCUUAAGCUCCCUUCCCCCUUCUUACGCUCCUCUCCUUUGACUGGUCCCUUCCCCCUUUUUAUGCCCCUCCCAGACCACCCAGUGGAUGCCUCUUCCUGCCCUCCACCCCUCCCCUGCAUCUCCUUGUAAAGUCCCAUGAGAUGCCCGAGGAGCACCUGCUGGUGGGGCACCCAGCACUCUGCUGGGCAUCACCCUCUGCACCCUGGCAUUUCUCUCCACCUCCAGAGGCUUGGAAGGGAACAGGGUAGAUAAGGCCCUUCACCCACCAUCUAUGCCAUACACCCACCACCACCAUCCCAUAAGGGAAAAAAAAAAGUAAAACAAAAACAAAAAAAAAUCUUUUGUACAGAGAUAUAUUUUUAUUAUACAAAGUUUGUACAGUACCAAAAAAGAAAGAAAAAAAGGUGUAAAUUUUUUUUCAUUAUUGUAGGUAAACGGUAGUAGAAGCCUUUUUUGUAAAUGUACAAAAAUGUAUAAAUAUGGUUUUCAGAAAACAUCAAGUGCUGUAAAUAUGUAAUCUACACCCCUUCUUGGCUUGUCUGCAGUAUAUACAUUUAAUUUAUCUGUCUCUGUAUAUGAGGCUUCCCCCUGGGGUCCUGCAUUAUGGUACUUUCCUGAAUUUGAAAGCAAUUUUAAAUUUUUUGAAUUCAAAUAAAAUAUAAAUUUUUGCAUUGGU